rnacentral:rRNA from 1 species
AUACGUAGGGGGCGAGCGUUGUCCGGAAUGAUUGGGCGUAAAGGGCGCGUAGGCGGCCCGGUAAGUCUGGAGUGAAAGUCCUGUUUUUAAGAUGGGAAUUGCUUUGGAUACUGUCGGGCUUGAGUGCAGGAGAGGUAAGUGGAAUUCCCAGUGUAGCGGUGAAAUGCGUAGAGAUUGGGAGGAACACCAGUGGCGAAGGCGACUUACUGGACUGUAACUGACGCUGAGGCGCGAAAGUGUGGGGAGCAAACAGGAUUAGAUACCCUGGUAGUCCACACUGUAAACGAUGAAUGCUAGGUGUAGGGGGUAUCGACCCCUUCUGUGCCGCAGUCAGCACAAUAAGCAUUCCGCCUGGGGAGUACGGCCGUAAGAUUGAAACUCAAAUGAAUUGGCGGGG